GACGUCGGAUGUCGUAGUGGCUGGUGGGGAGGAUGAGUUGACGGUUCGUCGCGGCUGUUCGAUUCGGUCCGGCGGUUC
rnacentral:tRNA from 1 species